CUUCUCUUUCCUGCUGCCAUGUGAAGAAGGAUGUAUUUGCUUCUCCUUCUGCCAUGAUCACAGGAACCGAGGCUGGGUCAUCGGCUCCAGAAUUUACCAGGCUGUGCAUUGUAGAACCUCCUCAUGGACGGGCUCUGUGUGCAGGCUUUACUCUGGCCAAUGGCAGGCAAAGACACUUUCAGAAGAGGAACGAAGGCCUGGAAGGAAAAGCAUCAGGGGAACGACGCUUACGUCUCUCCUCCUCCCUCCGGUCUCCCACCAGUGCUCCCAUUGGCUGAAGCCAACCAGAAGCCACAGGACUCUAUCACCCAGGCUGGAGUGCAGCAGCGCGAUCUCGGCUCACUGCAACGUCCGCCUCCUGGGUUCAAGUGAUUCUCCUGCCUCAGCCUCCUGAGUAGCUAGGAUUACAGGUAUGUGCACCACGCCCAGUUAAUUUUUGUAUUUUUAGUAGAGAUGGGGUUUCACCAUGUUGGCCAGGCUGGUCUUGAACUCCUGACCUCAGGUGAUCCACCCACCUCGGCCCCCAAAUGUGCUGGGAUUACAGGCAUGAGCCACCGCGCCCGGCCCUACUGUCUCCACUUUUAGGAGUUCAAAUCCACAACCUGACUCACUGGAAUGCUCACAGGAGUUCAUGAACUAUCUGAGCUACAUGGAUAGUCUGCAUGAGUUCAAGGCCACUGCAGACACCAUGUCUCAGACAGGCGUGUCAUAGUGUCAAAGCUCCUGUUAGGCAGCCUGCAGAACAGCCUAGGCCCCGUGAAUUAUGUCACUAGAACAUCAACAAUUAAUUUUGUCCAAUGACAAAGUCUGAAAUGACUGAAAAGGGUAGGACUCAGGUAAGCCUGAAAGAAUCUCUCAUGCGAUAAUAACAAUUUCAUCAUGAAUAAUAAUAAUGACCAUGUAUUGAACACUUAAACUUAAGUCAUGCGUCUGGCACUAUAUUAAGCAUUUUCUUUAUAUUCUGUUAUUUAAUCUUUACAGGAAUCCUGAGGUCAGCAUCAUCCCAAUUUCACAGAGUAUGACAUGACGUCUCAGAGAGGGUAAGCAGCUUGCCAAACAUUCCACAGCCAGGAAGCUGUAGGACCAGCCUGUGCUCCUAAGGACUGGCUCCUGGCUGCUAUAUAUAGAACUAAGCCUGGUGGAGGUGUCAGAAAUAGAGGUUCACUUCUGUCAUCACCGACCUCCCUCCACACCUUUGCAAAGGAGGAAACUGAGAGGCAGGGAUUUCCGCAGAGCAAGGAACCCAAAUUGCUGCCUCCUGUGAUUUAUACACUGCACCCCAAGCUGUAGGGGUAACCCAAGGACAAAGCUGUAACCCAAGCGGGAACAUAUGCCCCAUCUGGGGCCACCAAAAUCUUACCAGCUUCCUCAGCUGGUGGAUCGGUUAAUUCACGGCCACAGCCCCCUGGAGCUGGGGGAAAGGAAAACCAGGGCGUCUCCGCAAACCAGCCCAGAGAGAGGUCUGCGGAAGGGCCCGGAAGCCUGCAGGCCCCUCUGCACCCCCAACCCCACCGCCAUCCUGGACCUCCAAGAUGACCUGGUCCAACAGAGUCCUGCAUGGAAAAGACUGGAACCCAGGGAGGAGCAGAGCCCCGCCCAAGGUCACCGGCCGAGCCUGAAUAGAACCCGGUUCUCCAGGAGCCCUGUCUUUAGCUGUCUUGUCCAAAUAAAAUUUUUCAGGCCAU
rnacentral:lncRNA from 1 species